CGAACUAUUUAUGGAGGGUGUGCCCAGUUAAACUCCACCUCACACCAUUCAUAAGAUCUCCCCACCAGUAUCGGCUACGAUUUCCGGGUGUUUGAUGUCUCUCGAUGUUAUAAGAAAUAAAAUCACGAUGGAUGGGAGCGCAGUGCCCACAGUCUCCGUAAUUGGGUCGCAAGACAGAGAGAAAGACAAUAGUGCACCUGUUGCCAAAAAGCCAAAUUUGAAAAACCCCUUCGAAAUUUAACACAGCGUGUGCCAACACGGCCCAGAUCAGGCCAUAAAUUCGCAAGUGCUUCAAUCGGUGGUAAUGUCUGGUAGCGGUUUCAGCAGGUGAGUCUAGGCGUGCGACAGAGCACGAGACCCAGUGGCGUGCGUCAACGCAGGAUACGUGACACCCGACAGGAAAAAUCGCCCGAAAAUACUAAUGAACUGAACCAAAAACGUUUUCUUCCCUAAUAUUUCAGGCAGGUUCGUCGCCUAAUUGCCUAUUGAAGUCUCCGUUCGCGAGCGCUUGCUAUUGAAAUUGCAACGGCGUCUUCGUGGGGAAAACCUUCAACUACAUUACAAACGACCGUAAAAACCCGAAUUUGGACCGCGAGGUUGUUCAAUAUUGGAUAAUAUUUGUCAAGACUUUGGAAUUGGCGUUCCAAUUUUACCGAUACCGCGUUCAACUCACGCGUAACUUUCACUGCAUGCAUUGUUGAGGCUUAAUUUCUCGUAAAAUCUCGACCGCCGAGAUGAAGAUUCCUGCGGUGAAAAAUGUUGAAAUCUCCAGGAUAUGUGCUAUGAGUCAUAAAGCGCGAUUUUAUAACUUUAUUUCUUGAAACGGUGGUUCGGAUUCAAAGUCUGGGACGGGACGAACUUACGUAAGGAGGAUGACAACGCAACAUACUGAUUGAUAAAUGUAUUGCGUUUGCAAAUAAUUUCCGAUAAAUAAAAAAUAUUAUUAUUUA